UUGGAUGUGGGGCAUUAAUAGUUUUUACGAUUAUGACAUUAGCGGAGGAAAUGCCCGUUUUGGUUUAGGUGGUGAGUUAUGGGCCUAUUAUUUGAA
rnacentral:tRNA from 1 species